UUAAAUGAGAAAUUCAACUACUAAAGUGGAACUUACAUAGAACAUUUUUCCUUGGAAUUGAAAGUUAUUCUCUUUUUUUAUAUGCCUGCAUACAUUAAACAUCUAAAUUGCUAACUGCCAUACAACACGUAUGGUUUUGGUUAAAUCAGCUAUUUAGCUUGAGACCCACGACCUUAUUAUUUUAUAUACUUUUAUAAUGUAAUAACUAAAACA